rnacentral:lncRNA from 1 species
AUGGGGAGUGCUGGCGAGUUUGGGAUGUGGGGAGCAGGGCGAUGCUGUUUGGAGCACCCCCAGCCCCCCGAGCCAGGUCACCCAUUGUCCCCACGCCGGAUCCCCUCCCGCAGCCCCGGGAGGGGUCAGCCGGGUCCUGCGGCCUUUGGGGAUGCGGGAGACACUGGGUGGGGCUCUCCCGGGCUGUGGCCGUGCUCCCCGCAUCCUCUGCGUCUGCCAGAGGGCGGGAUGGGACCCUCCUGCCCGGGCGCGGAGGGGCUGAGGCAGGAGGAGUCGCCCGCCGGCUCUGGGGGUCGCUGGCCGGAGCCAGGCAGGGUGGCUGGACGUGGAGCCGGACCCGCCCCAUCCCUCCAUCCCUCCAUCCAUCCAUCCCAUCCCGCACGGUCACCUAUGGGACAAAGCAAAAGGAAUCGCGCAGCCCAGGCCCCCCCUGGCCACCGGCGAGGCGUGCGGGGCCACAGGCAGGGCCAGCAGUCCCUGUCCCCAGCACCCCCCGGUGUCCCGGCCACCACCGGGCUCCCGGGCGCCGUGUCCAGCCCUCGGCGCGGAGGCCAGUCCCGGAUGGGAGGGUUGGGCGUGAGGGGACAUGUGCAGGGACAUCCGUGUGCGUGGGUACCCGUGCCUAGGGGCACGUGUGGGCAUGGGCGCGCACUCGCACGGGCACUGUGGGCACGGGCACACGUGUGGGCACCCAUUGGCAUGGGCGUUGAUUGUCGCGGGCUCUCCUGUGUGUGUGCAGCCAUGUGCAGGGUCGCGGGCACCCACACAGCCUGGAAUCACUGUGGGUGGGCGUCUGUGUGGUCACGGGCACUCGUUUCAGUGGGCACAGAGUCCCGUGUGCGUGUACAUCCGUGCGUGUGGGCACCCGUGGGCACCCGUGGGCACGAGCAUCCAUAUCAGUGCAUCCGUGUGUGCGUGUGUGCGCCCGUGUGUGUGCAUUCACGUGUGCGUGCGUCCAUGUGUGUGUGUGCGCAUCCGUGUGUGUGUGUGUGUGUGUGUGCAUUCAUGUGUGUGUGUGUGCAUUCAUGUGUGCGUGCGUCCAUACCUGUGAAUCCAUGCGUGUGUGUUUAUCCACGUGUGUGUGUGCAUCCGUGUGUGUGCGUGUGUGUGUGUGCAUUCAUGUGUGCAUGCACUGUGUGUCUGUGUCUGUGUGUGUCUGCAUGUUUGUGUGUCUGUGUGUGUGUGUCUGUAUGUCCAUGUGUGUGUCUGUGUCUGUCUGUGUGUCUAUGUGUCCAUGUGUGUAUGUCUGUGUGUCUGUGUCUGUGUCUGUGUCUGUGUCUGUGUGUCCAUGUGUGUGUGUCUGUGUGUCUGUGUGUCUGUGUGUGUCUGCAUGUUUGUGUGUGUGUAUGUCCAUGUGUGUCCAUGUGUGUGUGUCUGUGUCUGUGUGUCCAUAUGUGUGUGUGUGUGUUUCUGUGUGUCUGUGUCUGUCUGUGUGUCUGUGUCUGUGUGUGUCUGCAUGUUUGUGUGUCUGUGUGUGUGUGUCUGUAUGUCCAUGUGUGUGUCUGUGUCUGUCUGUGUGUCUAUGUGUCCAUGUGUGUAUGUCUGUGUGUCUGUGUCUGUGUCUGUGUCUGUGUCUGUGUGUCCAUGUGUGUGUGUCUGUGUGUCUGUGUGUCUGUGUGUGUCUGCAUGUUUGUGUGUGUGUAUGUCCAUGUGUGUCCAUGUGUGUGUGUCUGUGUCUGUGUGUCCAUAUGUGUGUGUGUGUGUUUCUGUGUGUCUGUGUCUGUCUGUGUGUCUGUGUCUGUGUGUGUCUGCAUGUUUGUGUGUCUGUGUGUGUGUGUCUGUAUGUCCAUGUGUGUGUCUGUGUCUGUCUGUGUGUCUAUGUGUCCAUGUGUGUAUGUCUGUGUGUCUGUGUCUGUGUCUGUGUCUGUGUCUGUGUGUCCAUGUGUGUGUGUCUGUGUGUCUGUGUGUCUGUGUGUGUCUGCAUGUUUGUGUGUGUGUAUGUCCAUGUGUGUCCAUGUGUGUGUGUCUGUGUCUGUGUGUCCAUAUGUGUGUGUGUGUGUUUCUGUGUGUCUGUGUCUGUCUGUGUGUCUGUGUCUGUGUGUGUCUGCAUGUUUGUGUGUCUGUGUGUGUGUGUCUGUAUGUCCAUGUGUGUGUCUGUGUCUGUCUGUGUGUCUAUGUGUCCAUGUGUGUAUGUCUGUGUGUCUGUGUCUGUGUCUGUGUCUGUGUCUGUGUGUCCAUGUGUGUGUGUCUGUGUGUCUGUGUGUCUGUGUGUGUCUGCAUGUUUGUGUGUGUGUAUGUCCAUGUGUGUCCAUGUGUGUGUGUCUGUGUCUGUGUGUCCAUAUGUGUGUGUGUGUGUUUCUGUGUGUCUGUGUCUGUCUGUGUGUCUGUGUCUGUGUGUGUCUGCAUGUUUGUGUGUCUGUGUGUGUGUGUCUGUAUGUCCAUGUGUGUGUCUGUGUCUGUCUGUGUGUCUAUGUGUCCAUGUGUGUAUGUCUGUGUGUCUGUGUCUGUGUCUGUGUCUGUGUCUGUGUGUCCAUGUGUGUGUGUCUGUGUGUCUGUGUGUCUGUGUGUGUCUGCAUGUUUGUGUGUGUGUAUGUCCAUGUGUGUCCAUGUGUGUGUGUCUGUGUCUGUGUGUCCAUAUGUGUGUGUGUGUGUUUCUGUGUGUCUGUGUCUGUCUGUGUGUCUGUGUCUGUGUGUGUCUGCAUGUUUGUGUGUCUGUGUGUGUGUGUCUGUAUGUCCAUGUGUGUGUCUGUGUCUGUCUGUGUGUCUAUGUGUCCAUGUGUGUAUGUCUGUGUGUCUGUGUCUGUGUCUGUGUCUGUGUCUGUGUGUCCAUGUGUGUGUGUCUGUGUGUCUGUGUGUCUGUGUGUGUCUGCAUGUUUGUGUGUGUGUAUGUCCAUGUGUGUCCAUGUGUGUGUGUCUGUGUCUGUGUGUCCAUAUGUGUGUGUGUGUGUUUCUGUGUGUCUGUGUCUGUCUGUGUGUCUGUGUCUGUGUGUGUCUGCAUGUUUGUGUGUCUGUGUGUGUGUGUCUGUAUGUCCAUGUGUGUGUCUGUGUCUGUCUGUGUGUCUAUGUGUCCAUGUGUGUAUGUCUGUGUGUCUGUGUCUGUGUCUGUGUCUGUGUCUGUGUGUCCAUGUGUGUGUGUCUGUGUGUCUGUGUGUCUGUGUGUGUCUGCAUGUUUGUGUGUGUGUAUGUCCAUGUGUGUCCAUGUGUGUGUGUCUGUGUCUGUGUGUCCAUAUGUGUGUGUGUGUGUUUCUGUGUGUCUGUGUCUGUCUGUGUGUCUGUGUCUGUGUGUGUCUGCAUGUUUGUGUGUCUGUGUGUGUGUGUCUGUAUGUCCAUGUGUGUGUCUGUGUCUGUCUGUGUGUCUAUGUGUCCAUGUGUGUAUGUCUGUGUGUCUGUGUCUGUGUCUGUGUCUGUGUCUGUGUGUCCAUGUGUGUGUGUCUGUGUGUCUGUGUGUCUGUGUGUGUCUGCAUGUUUGUGUGUGUGUAUGUCCAUGUGUGUCCAUGUGUGUGUGUCUGUGUCUGUGUGUCCAUAUGUGUGUGUGUGUGUUUCUGUGUGUCUGUGUCUGUCUGUGUGUCUGUGUCUGUGUGUGUCUGCAUGUUUGUGUGUCUGUGUGUCUGUAUGUCCAUGUGUGUCUGUGUGUUCAUGUGUGUGUAUGUGUCUGUGUGUCUGUGUGUCUGCCUGUGUGUGUGUGUCCAUGUGUGUCUGUGUGUCCGUGUGUCUGUGUGUGUGUGUGUGUGUGUGUGCAUCCCAGGUUCAUGGAUCCCAGGCUCCUGUGGGUCAGUGUGCAAGGCAGCUGUGUGGGUGUCCCUGUGCCCCAGUGUCCCUGUCAGUGGGUGUCCCUGUGUCCCAGUGUCCCUGUGCCCCGGUGUCCCUGUCAGUGGGGUGUCCCUGUAUCAGGGUGUCCCUGUGUCGGGGUGUCCCUGUAUCAGGGUGUCCCUGUCAGUGGGGUGUCCCUGUGUCGGGGUUUCCCUGUAUCAGGGUGUCCCUGUAUCAGGGUGUCCCUGUGUUGGGGUGUCCCUGUAUCAGGGUGUCCCUGUCAGUGUGUCCCUGUGUCGGGGUGUCCCUGUAUCAGGGUGUCCCUGUAUCAGGGUGUCCCUGUCAGUGUGUCCCUGUGUCGGGGUGUCCCUGUAUCAGGGUGUCCCUGUGUCGGGGUGUCCCUGUCAGUGGAUGUCCCUGUACCCCCCCCCCCCCCCCCCCCCCCCCCCCCCCCCCCCCCCCCCCCCCCCCCCCCCCCCCCCCCCCCCC